rnacentral:rRNA from 1 species
UACGUAGGGCGCAAGCGUUGUCCGGAAUUAUUGGGCGUAAAGAGCUCGUAGGCGGUUUGUCGCGUCUGCCGUGAAAGCCCGGGGCUUAACUCCGGGUCUGCGGUGGAUACGGGCAGACUAGAGGCAGGUAGGGGAGAACGGAAUUCCCGGUGUAGCGGUGAAAUGCGUAGAUAUCGUAAGGAAGACCAGUGGCGAAGGCGGGUCUCUGGACAGUUCCUGACGCUGAGGCACGAAGGCCAGGGGAGCAAACGGG